rnacentral:pre_miRNA from 1 species
UGAGGUUUAAUGGAGAUCUCUUCACUCCUAUGUAAAGGAGGCAAUGGUAGGCCAUGGCUGCUAGUUCAUGAAUACCCCUGGGUGCGCACUGUGCAGGAUAAGCAGAUAUCGAUUGAUCAUGAUUAUUAUGGGAUUGGCUUGGGUGCGCAGGCUAAGGGUUUGCAUGACCUGGGAGACGUGGUUGCCUUGGCAUUUUUUAUAUUGGAGUGAAGGGAGCUCUGUUGUCUUUCUAA